GUUAGCAAACACAUGUGAUCGGGAGGUGAUUUUUAUUAAAACAAGUCUCGUGGUUAUGACAUUUGAUCAGCCAGAUUCUUAAAUUAUAUUUAGUUCAAGAGUAUGCAGUUUGGAGAUAGAAUGAAAAAAGUGUUGCCUUUGCUGGCAGCAGCUGUUUUGAUUUAUCACGGGACUCUGUAUUACAUGAAGCCGGUCUAUGCACCUGAAGGUGGAAAAAACGCCCUGAACAAUAAGAAAGAGAGUUGAUUACAAGAGUAUAUGAUCGUGUGGAUGGACAAAUUUAAGUAGAUUACUUCUUUGUGUAGUAAACGUUGUGAAACUUUAUCAGGUGCAAGUUGCCGGAAUUGGACAAGUGCCAGCUGUACAACAGCUAGUGAUGAGAACAUUUUGAGUUGUAGAUACUCGGCUAGUUAUGAGAGUCAGAAGACCAAGAGGAAUUACAAAUGCACAAAUCAUUAUUGUCUCUUUUAUAGGCAUCCUUGGAGGCAUUUAUAUCUGGAAACCAGUACUACAGAGGACUGUUUUUAGGAAAGAGGGCGUACCUGUGGAAGUCCCAGACAAGUGAAAAUACGAUUUCAUUAUGUGCAAAACUAUGGAUAAACAAGGGACAUUUUUGCAGCGACUUAGGAACAGACCUCUGUAUCCAGUAAUUCUUGGGUUUGCACUGACAAUAGGUGGAGUUAUUGGCUAUAAAUUUUUGUAUUUACCUAAAAAGAGAAGAAGAAAUAUGAAAGAAGCAGAGGAAAUGGCAGACUUCUUAUUCGCAAAGGAACAGUUGCUAACUCCUGAAGGUACUGGAGAAUCUGGUGACUGAAGCAUCUUAGUUAACAAGAACUAUAAAUAUAUUUUGUAGCAUAUGGUGGUGUACAUAAGAUUUCAAUUUUGUCGUGCUGUCAUUUCCAGUCUGGAAGGGUGGUCUCUUGUUUGGAACUGUUUAUUAGUCACUAACCUUUGAAAUCAGUAAAAUAUUUAAAAAAAUAUUAACAUCA